rnacentral:rRNA from 1 species
GACGAACGCUGGCGGCGUGCUUAACACAUGCAAGUCGAACGGAAAGGCCCUGCUUUUGUGGGGUGCUCGAGUGGCGAACGGGUGAGUAACACGUGAGUAACCUGCCCUUGACUUUGGGAUAACUUCAGGAAACUGGGGCUAAUACCGGAUAGGAGCUCCUGCUGCAUGGUGGGGGUUGGAAAGUUUCGGCGGUUGGGGAUGGACUCGCGGCUUAUCAGCUUGUUGGUGGGGUAGUGGCUUACCAAGGCUUUGACGGGUAGCCGGCCUGAGAGGGUGACCGGCGACAUGGGUCCUGAGAUACGGCCCAGACUCGUACGGGAGGCAGCAGGGGGGAAUAUUGCACAAUGAGCGGAAGCCUGAUGCAGAAACGCUCCGAGCGGGAUGACGGCCUUCGGGUUGUAAACCGCUUUCGCCUGUGACGAAGCGGGAGUGACGGUAAUGGGUAAAGAAGCACCGGCUAACUACGUG